AGGCAGCUGGAAACGUGUGACGAGCUUUCCUGCUGCAUUGCUCCUCUCCAUCCCCGUUUCGCAACCCACCUAAGCCGAUCCGCGCCUGUAGCUCGUAAAACAAACGUUAAAACAAUGCCAUGCCUCCCUCCCCCAAGAACAGCCAACAAAGCAAACAAGCGCCACGUCCUGUAAAUGAUCCCACCAGCGCUGUACUUAAGAUUCUUACUAAAAACGGGACAUAGUUGCUGCUGCUCUCAGAAGAUAAUGAGCGGGGACUAUACAACGUCGGCAUUCACUAAAAAACAAAUCAAAAUCAAACCAACCCCAAAUAUUAAAAGAUAGACGGGAGUUCAAUGGGUGCAAGUAAAUCGUCAGGCUCAGUGAUCACUGGGCUUCCUGUGGCACCUAGUUGCUGAUACAGUGUUACGUGCAGUGGCUGGGAGGGAACUGCUGCUGACAAUGUCGGUGUGGGAGAGAAGAGAGAGGAAACAGAAGAAUCGCCAGGCUGGUAGCGGUUCACCUUGCAUGCCUUGCAAAUCUAUCUGCUAUACCCAGGAGUGGCAGUGAUCUGCAGGCGAAUCUUGGCCAUAACCACUACUCCCGGUUUUCUACUAAUUUCUCUCCUUUGAAGGGAGAGGCUGGCUCCUCGGAUAACCUGAAUUCGGAACGUCUGAAGGUGCUUUAUUAACUACACCGGCGGCAGAAGACUGCAGUUGUGAGGGGGGCUUUGUGAUGCUGCCUUCCCAUUCUAUCUGACUGUCUUUUAUUGGACCCCCAAUUCCCUCUACAUAGGUCUGAAGAGCCUUUCGGGCAGAGGGAUUUCCCGGGAUUAGGCUUCAGCAUCAGAGGCAGAUUUAGAAAAUCCAGGAUAUGCUUCAUUAAUAUGGGCCCUUUCCUUUUCUCAUGCCAGUUUUUGGUGUGUUUCAUGGCGUUUCUGUAGAUUUGGACACGAUCAGCCUUAACUAGAUAAAAUAUAUAAGCUGCAAGCUAGCAAUCUCUCUCUCUAUCUCUCUCUCUCUCACACUCAAAGGCAUCGCUUACUCUAGGGAGUAAGUGUGAACGUUAUUAUAUUUCUAGAAAUCUCCUCAGCCCUUCAGCUUUUCAUACUCAGAUGCUCACUCUCUCUUUUACUUACACACUAACAUACACACCCCACUUUGUCUUUUCCCUUAGUCUGUGGGUGUGAUUGUGCCUGUAGGAGCCACUGUCAAGGACACGAGUGACCGUCUGUUCUCUGGCUACAGUUGGCGGGAAAUCUGGGGGCAAUCUCGGUGUUCUGAGACUGGGUAGCUCAUUACCGCCUCCCAUCUCCCUGCAGCCACAUUUCCAUACAGGAUACUCAUCUGAUUUUUUUAACUUGGCCCCUCCCCCGCCCGCCUCCACUCGUCACAAACACCCAGCUCUGCACACAGACACAUUCUUCACCCACACACUUCUUGACACCCACACAUGCAAUAAAGCAACCCACCACGGUAGAGAAAACACGUGUAUCCAUGCAUAGAUACAUUUUCCAAACACACCCACCCAGAGACAUAUUUACACACACACUUGGAACCUUCUCCAUCAACACACAGCCUUGCACACAAACAUUCCUACAAACACACUCAUACAAAGGUUCUUACAACCCUCCUUCACAAACACGCAUCUUUCCCACCAAGGUGCACUACUACCUUACUUUACCCCUUCCACCCUACGUUCUUAUUCUCGCAAACAUCCAGGCUUCUACCCAGUGAGUUCUCACAGUCUCACUAAACCAUGUCCAUAUGUCUACACACACAAUAACACCCUGCCUCCUUUCUCUCUACACUCUCCACAGGCUAUACCCCUUCCCCCAGCUUUUAGAAACACCCCCUUCUAGCUCUCUCUUUACAAUGACUCCUGUGUAAGCUCCAUAAAUCCAUUUCUGUUGAUGCUGUCCCCCUUGUUCUGAGUCCGAAGCAUUGAGAAAGAAAGAAAAAAAAAACCCUUCCUUCCAGAAAUCAGUGCGAUGCUGAGAGGUCCCUCUACAAGUUUGCAAAUUGAACAGCAAGUGGUUUCAUUUUAUUUUGAUUUGGACAAAAGUCACACAGAGUGGCAGUGCUUCCCAAAACAGAACGCAGAAGAAGCUGUUCCUCAAAAGUUCACUGGAUGAAAACAUGCUUGAAAACGCAACUUCUCGGGGGCAAUUUUUGUAAGUUUCCAAAGAAAUGCGCGCUUUCCUCCUAUUAUUGAAAAAUGUAGCCAUUGCUCUUCCUUAGACUAGACAUUUCUAAUUUGUUCCGUCUGUCAGAAGGGGACUAUGAGAGGGUUUGGUGCAAAUUCAUUAUCUCUGGCAACGCAUAACGUAUAGUAGGAACUGAAAAAGACCGUGGCAAUGGAUGAACAAUAGGGCUUCAGUUCAUCUGCAACAAAAGCGUUGGGGAAAUCGGUUGAAUUUCAGAGCACGUCCUCCUCAGCAGAGAGGGCUGGACUAGACCUUGGCCAACCCUCCCCCCCCCCCCAAAAAAACUUGCAGAGCCUCACGUACAACACUUCACUUUCUACUCUGGGGCUUAGGAAGCAAUAUGGAAGAAAAAAACUUUUUUGUCUAUUUCUUCCUUGUUUUUCUGGAUAGAAGCUAAGUAUUUUAAAACCAACCAUGCAAGAUUGAUACUAUGGAACUAAGCUGCAAUUUCAGAUAAAGGUGAUGAUCUGCAUUUCUGGAGACGUGAAGGAACCCGCUGUCUGUGCUUUAAGGGGGGGCUUGACCGUAGGAUCUUUGUUUGCAGCCGGAGAUUCAGCCUUUACGUCUAGAUCGGAGGGUCAAAUAUUUCUUAUAAGAAAAAAAUUCAUAUUAAGAAGAAGGAUCACAAAAGGAUGGCAACCAUCACAAGAAAUGAGUAGAAGAUGGCUUGUGACUUAUCUUGUAGAGAAGAAUGACUGAAAUGACUGUUUGGAAUUAUUCUGGAAUUAAACUAGAAUGAGGUCUCCUCUGCCAAUGUAAGACAGAAAGAGAAGACCUAUACCCUGAAAAAUAAAAUUACAUUACUUAUUUGAGAGAGGAGCAUUUAAUCCUCAGGAUAUCCACCCCAUAAGCAGAAUAUACUUUUUCGGCAUCAACAUGUAACAUCAACAGACUCCGGUUGUUGGCAGGCAGGAUCAAACCUGGAAGUUCUGGAGUUAAAUACAUGACCCUCUACCACAUCACAACAGCUAUAUUCUACUUUAAACAAGCCAGCUGUGAGGAAAAAUGAAGUUUAGAACUGACUCUUGACACGUGAUGCACAUUUGGCAGGAGGCCAAGGCAAAUCAGAAUAAACAACCAGAAGAAAAUGCCAAAUACAGGAAAAUAACAGUAACUUACUAUGAUUUAAUGCCAAUAACGUGGUUAAGAUAAUUGAUAGGAGUGAAGUGGAACAACAGUCAGCCAGGGAGAACCUGCCUCCAUAUUUAAAAAUGAAAUUUCUUAAAUCCUGUUAUGAAGUCUGGUUAACAAUGACAUGGAGUUUUGAGGAACAAGGUCACAGCUUUGACUGUUUUUGAAUGAAAUAUACUGAAAGAAAAAGAAAAGCUUGGUCUUGAUUACCUAUAGUACAGAUUAGUUUGAAGGAAGUAAUUAUUACCAAUCUGUACCGUAACAGUUGGAUUUAACUGCAGUGUAACAUUUAAGUUCCAUAGAGCAGAGACUAUCUUACUGUUCUUAGCCUGUACAACAUAUAUCACAAUGAGACUGUUGUCCAUAACUGAGGAUCCUAGAUGCCCCCUUAAAAUAAGCAAUAUAAUAUUUCUCUUAUUCAGUGCGGAUUGUUUCUUUAGUUACUUUAAUUUUAUUUUUGAAUAUUUAUAAUUUAUCUUUAGCUCUGAGAGCAAAAUUACCAAAGGUUCUUACAUCAGAUGUGCCACUCCCAGGCUGUGUCUAGACUGGCAAGUUUUUCCGCAAAAUCAGAUGAUUUUGCGGAAAAACUUGCCAGC